ACUCGGAGCAACCCUGAUGCAGAGAUGGAACUGUCUGUCGUUCUUCGGUGUUUGUCUCUUCUUGUUCUUGCCUCCGUAGGUCUGUGAGCUUCAUACAAGCAAGGAAUUCCAUGGUACUCUGGUAUUUAUGGCAAUAAUCUAAAUCUGAAUACGAGCAUGAAAUUAAAUUUCCACCUACUCAUGAAAUUAAGAUGCUGGUGGAUGUGAAACAAAACAUCUCUGAAGCCUAAGUGAAGGAAACUUGUCAAACUGACAUUGUUAAAC